AUUGAACGCUGGCGGCAUGCUUUACACAUGCAAGUCGAACGGUAACAGGUCUUUCGGGAUGCUGACGAGUGGCGAACGGGUGAGUAAUGUAUCGGAACGUGCCCAGUAGUGGGGGAUAACUACUCGAAAGAGUGGCUAAUACCGCAUGAGAUCUCUGGAUGAAAGCGGGGGACCGUAAGGCCUCGCGCUACUGGGAGCGGCCGAUAUCAGAUUAGGUAGUUGGUAGGGUAAGAGCCUACCAAGCCAACGAUCUGUAGCUGGUCUGAGAGGACGACCAGCCACACUGGGACUGAGACACGGCCCAGACUCCUACGGGAGGCAGCAGUGGGGAAUUUUGGACAAUGGGCGCAAGCCUGAUCCAGCAAUGCCGCGUGCAGGACGAAGGCCUUCGGGUUGUAAACUGUCUUUUGUACGGUAACGAAAGCCUCUGGUUAAUACCUAGGGGUCAUGACGGUACCGUAAGAAUAAGCACCGGCUAACUACGUGCCAGCAGCCGCGGUAAC
rnacentral:rRNA from 1 species